rnacentral:rRNA from 1 species
AUUGAACGCUGGCGGCAUGCCUUACACAUGCAAGUCGAACGGUAACAGGUCUUCGGAUGCUGACGAGUGGCGCACGGGUGAGUAAUACAUCGGAACGUGCCCAGACGUGGGGGAUAACGAGGCGAAAGCUUUGCUAAUACCGCAUACGAUCUAAGGAUGAAAGCAGGGGACCGCAAGGCCUUGCGCGUUUGGAGCGGCCGAUGGCAGAUUAGGUAGUUGGUGGGAUAAAAGCUUACCAAGCCGACGAUCUGUAGCUGGUCUGAGAGGACGACCAGCCACACUGGGACUGAGACACGGCCCAGACUCCUACGGGAGGCAGCAGUGGGGAAUUUUGGACAAUGGGCGAAAGCCUGAUCCAGCAAUGCCGCGUGCAGGAUGAAGGCCUUCGGGUUGUAAACUGCUUUUGUACGGAACGAAAAGGCUCUGGCUAAUACCUGGGGCACAUGACGGUACCGUAAGAAUAAGCACCGGCUAACUACGUG